rnacentral:rRNA from 1 species
AGGUGCGAUCCUACCAGCACUAAUGCACCGGAUCCCAUCAUAACUCUGCAAUUAAGUGUGUUUGGACGAGAGUAGUACUAGGAUGGGUGACAUCCUAGGAAAUCUUCGUGUUGCACCUC